CUUGAACGCUGGCGGCAGGCCUAACACAUGCAAGUCGAGCGAGCGGCGGACGGGUGAGGAAUGUAUGGGGACUGCCCGAUAGAGGGGGAUAACUACUGGAAACGGUAGCUAAUAACGCCUACUAUCGUCAACCCCAUAUUGGAUUAGCUAGUAUGUGGGGUAAGGGCUCACCUAGGCGACGAUCCCUUGCUGGUCUGAGAGGAUGAUCAGCCACACUGGUACUGAGACACGGCCCAGACUCCUACGGAGGCAGCAGUGGGGAAUAUUGCACAAUGGGCGCAAGCCUGAUGCAGCCAUGCCGCGUGUAUGAAGAAGGCCCUAGGGUUGUAAAGUACUUUCAGUCGGGAGGCGUUACCGGCAGAAGAAGCACCGGCUAACUCCGUGCCAGCAGCCGCGGUAAUAC
rnacentral:rRNA from 1 species